GCCAGGUGUGGUGGCACACACCUGUAAUCCCAGCAGCUAGGGAGGCUGAGGCAGGAGAAUUGCAAGUUCAAAGCCAGCCUCAGCAAAAGUGGGGCCCUAAGCAACUUAGUGAGACCCUGUCUCUA
rnacentral:sRNA from 1 species